UACGGAGGGGACUAGCGUUGUUCGGAAUUACUGGGCGUAAAGCGCACGUAGGCGGAUUUGUAAGUCAGGGGUGAAAUCCCGGGGCUCAACCUCGGAACUGCCUUUGAUACUGCAAAUCUCGAGUCCGGAAGAGGUGAGUGGAAUUCCUAGUGUAGAGGUGAAAUUCGUAGAUAUUAGGAAGAACACCAGUGGCGAAGGCAGCUCGCUGGAACGGUACUGACGCUGAGGCGCGAAAGCGUGGGGAGCAAACAGG
rnacentral:rRNA from 1 species